rnacentral:tRNA from 1 species
GGAUGCUUAGCUCAAUUGGUAGAGCGCAGUCCUGAUAAGACUGAGGUACCUGGUUCGAAACCAGGAGCAUCCA